CAGGCCGGGAAGGAACCACACCUUCAGCGUGCCCUUCUCGGGAGCACAUUCUCUCUCACCGGUGGGGCGAAAUCUCCCUUUACCUGGAAUCAGGUUUCGUUGUUUUGUUUUUCCCUUUAGGAGCAAACUGUUCACUUAAGGGCAGUCAUAGACUAUUCCCGAAAAAAGGAAUCCCUGAGAAGCAAUCUUCCACGGGAACCCUGCCACCAAAAAACUUUCAGAGGAAAUGGAAGGACUGGCAGAGGAAGGGGAUUGUCCCCGGAGUCAUAACUCAUCUCGCCUCCAACUCGGGUCGAGGCAUCGAUGAAUCUUCAUCCUCUGGCUCCUGUGCUCCCUGGCUAGCCGCUGCCCACGCCGCUGUUCACACCUUCAAUGGCAUCCAGGGGGGAUGGUUCCUUCUGGGAGCCUCAGAAAUAAAGAAG